GACGAACGCUGGCGGCGUGCUUAACACAUGCAAGUCAUGGGGGCCCGCAAGGGGCAACCGGCGAACGGGUGCGUAACACGUGAGCAAUCUGCCUAAGAUGGUGGGGGAUAGCCGGCCCAACGGGACCGGGUAAUACCGCAUACGCUCUCCUGGUGGCAUCACCGGGGUGAGGAAACCUUCGGGGCAUCUAGAGGAGCUCGCGGCCUAUCAGCUAGUUGGUGAGGUAAUGGCUCACCAAGGCUUUGACGGGUAGCUGGUCUGAGAGGAUGGCCAGCCACAUUGGGACUGAGAUACGG
rnacentral:rRNA from 1 species